AUGGCUGGUGGUUUUAGUCAGGAUAGGGAGGGUGAUGGUGAAGGAUACCAAGAGAUGAUCAGAGAUGUGGAGAGGGAUUCCUGCAGUCAGACAUUGAUCGAGUCUGAUUCAGUCAUCAUCAAACCUGAUCAGUCUCAUAAACUGACCUGCACAGCAUCUGGAUUUAACUUUGGUAGCUCUUGGAUGGCUUGGAUCAGACAGGCUACUGGAAAAGGACUGGAAUUUGUUGCAACUAUCGAGUAUGAUAGUGAUAGGAAGUAUUACUCCAGUGCAGUUAAAGGCCGCUUCACCAUCUCCAGAGACAACAGUAAGCAGCAGGUGUAUCUGCACAUGAACAGCGUGAGGACAGAAGACACAGCUGUGUAUUACUGCGCCCGACACACACAGUGA